UGGGGAAUUUUGCACAAUGGGGGAAACCCUGAUGCAGCGACGCCGCGUGAUUUAGAAGGCCUUCGGGUUGUAAAAAUCUUUUCUAUGGGAAGAAAAUGACAGUACCAUAGGAAUAAGGACCGGCUAAUUACGUGCCAGCAGCCGCGGUAAUACGUAAGGUCCGAGCGUUGUCCGGAAUCAUUGGGCGUAAAGGGUACUUAGGCGGGUAAGCAAGUUAGAAGUGAAAUCCUAUAGCUCAACUAUAGUAAGCUUUUAAAACUGCUAAUCUUGAGGUAUGGAAGAGAAAGUGGAAUUCCUAGUGUAGCGGUGAAAUGCGCAGAUAUUAGGAGGAAUACCGGUGGCGAAGGCGACUUUCUGGCCAUAACCUGACGCUGAGGUACGAAAGCGUGGGUAGCAAACAGG
rnacentral:rRNA from 1 species